rnacentral:rRNA from 1 species
UACGUAGGGUGCAAGCGUUGUCCGGAAUUAUUGGGCGUAAAGAGCUCGUAGGCGGUUCGUCACGUCGGCUGUGAAAUCCCGAGGCUCAACCUCGGGUCUGCAGUCGAUACGGGCGGACUUGAGUACUGCAGGGGAGACUGGAAUUCCUGGUGUAGCGGUGAAAUGCGCAGAUAUCAGGAGGAACACCGGUGGCGAAGGCGGGUCUCUGGGCAGUAACUGACGCUGGAGGAGCGAAAGCGUGGGGAG